rnacentral:rRNA from 1 species
UACGGGGGGAGCAAGCGUUGUUCGGAUUUACUGGGCGUAAAGGGCGCGUAGGCGGCCACCGCAAGUCAGUUGUGAAAUCUCUGGGCUUAACCCAGAAAGGUCAACUGAUACUGCGGGGCUAGAGUGCAGAAGGGGCAACUGGAAUUCUCGGUGGUAGCGGUGAAAUGCGUAGAUAUCGAGAGGAACACCUGCGGCGAAGGCGGGUGCUGGCUGACACUGACGCUGAGGCGCGAAGCUAGGGGAGCGAACGGG